UUCCAGACUCCUACGGGAGGCAGCAGUGGGGAAUAUUGCACAAUGGGGGAAACCCUGAUGCAGCGACGCCGCGUGAGUGAAGAAGCGCCUCGGCGCGUAAAGCUCUGUCAGCAGGAACGACGAUGACGGUACCUGAAGAAGAAGCCCCGGCUAACUACGUGCCAGCAGCCGCGGUAAUACGUAGGGGGCAAGCGAUAUCCGGAUUUACUGGGUGUAAAGGGAGCGUAGACGGCGGGGCAAGUCUGGAGUGAAAGGCCGGGGCCCAACCCCGGGACCGCUCUGGAAACUGCCCGGCUGGAGUGCGGGAGAGGUAAGCGGAAUUCCUAGUGUAGCGGUGAAAUGCGUAGAUAUUAGGAGGAACACCAGCGGCGAAGGCGGCUUACUGGACCGUGACUGACGUUGAGGCUCGAAAGCGUGGGGAGCAAACAGGAUUAGAUACCCCGGUAC
rnacentral:rRNA from 1 species